rnacentral:rRNA from 1 species
GUGGGGAAUCUUGCGCAAUGGGCGAAAGCCUGACGCAGCCAUGCCGCGUGGAUGAUGAAGGUCUUAGGAUUGUAAAAUCCUUUCACCGGUGAAGAUAAUGACUGUAGCCGGAGAAGAAGCCCCGGCUAACUUCGUGCCAGCAGCCGCGGUAAUACGAAGGGGGCUAGCGUUGCUCGGAUUUACUGGGCGUAAAGGGCGCGUAGGCGGACAUUUAAGUCAGGGGUGAGAUCCCGGGGCUCAACCUCGGAACUGCCUUUGAUACUGGGUGUCUUGAGUAUGAGAGAGGUGUGUGGAACUCCGAGUGUAGAGGUGAAAUUCGUAGAUAUUCGGAAGAACACCAGUGGCGAAGGCGACACACUGGCUCAUUACUGACGCUGAGGCGCGAAAGCGUGGGGAGCAAACAGGAUUAGAAACCCUUGUAGUCC